AUUGAACGCUGGCGGCAGGCCUAACACAUGCAAGUCGAGCGGAUGAAGGGAGCUUGCUCCUGGAUUCAGCGGCGGACGGGUGAGUAAUGCCUAGGAAUCUGCCUGGUAGUGGGGGAUAACGUCCGGAAACGGGCGCUAAUACCGCAUACGUCCUGAGGGAGAAAGUGGGGGAUCUUCGGACCUCACGCUAUCAGAUGAGCCUAGGUCGGAUUAGCUAGUUGGUGGGGUAAAGGCUUACCAAGGCGACGAUCCGUAACUGGUCUGAGAGGAUGAUCAGUCACACUGGAACUGAGACACGGUCCAGACUCCUACGGGAGGCAGCAGUGGGGAAUAUUGGACAAUGGGCGAAAGCCUGAUCCAGCCAUGCCGCGUGUGUGAAGAAGGUCUUCGGAUUGUAAAGCACUUUAAGUUGGGAGGAAGGGCAGUAAGUUAAUCCCUUGCUGUUUUGACGUUACCAAAAGAAUAAGCACCGGCUAACUUCGUG
rnacentral:rRNA from 1 species